rnacentral:rRNA from 1 species
AGGGAAUAUUGGUCAAUGGGCGAAAGCCUGAACCAGCCACGCCGCGUGCAGGAAGAAGGUCCUCUGGAUUGUAAACUGCUUUUGCCAAGGGAUAAAGAGAGGCUAUACGCCUAAAUGAAGGUACUUGGUGAAUAAGCCACGGCUAACUACGUGCCAGCAGCCGCGGUAAUACGUAGGUGGCAAGCGUUGUCCGGAUUCACUGGGUUUAAAGGGUGCGUAGGCGGCUCCAUAAGUCAGUCGUUAAAGGUAUGGGCUUAACCCAAAUAAGGCGAUUGAUACUGUGGAGCUUGAAUUCGUUGGAGGUAUCCGGAAUGCGUAGUGUAGCGGUGAAAUGCACAGAUAUUACGCAGAACACCAAUUGCGGAGGCAGGAUACUACGACGAGAUUGACGCUGAGGCACGAAAGUGUGGGGAGCGAAC